GAUCAGACGCCCAAAUCAUUUUGUUGAUGAAUCGUUUCUCUGAACGAAAAAUCUAUGAAUACUUUUUAAUAAAAUAGAACGAACUGAAACAUUGAUAUGGCUGACCUGAAACAGUAUAAUGAGGUAUUUGAAAGGAAAGCUUCUCUUCUGUCCAUGGAAAAAUUUUCCCAGAAACUGGAUAAUCCACCAGCACCACCUCCAGAAGAUAAAUAUUAUUUUAUCAUGACCUUUUUCGUGAUUCUUGGAUUCGCAAUAAUGAUACCGUUUACCUUUCUCCUUACGGCUACAGAUUACUGGAUGUACAAGUUCAGGGAUGUUAGCCAGGAGAAUUAUGAUCCCAAUAACAAAACUUUUCUGCAGACUAAUUUUGCAUCCAUAUCAUCAAUGCUGUCAUCUGUACCAACAGCUUUAACUACAGUGAUAGUAUCUCUUUUUGCCCACAGAAUAGAUCUCAGAUUACGUUUACUUGGUGCCAUGAUAGCAAUGAGUAUGUCUUUCAUAUCUUUCACGAUAUUGGUGAAAGUAAAUACGGAUUCUUAAGUAUUUUAUGAUUUGUUGUGUAUGGGUCAGUUCAAGUUGCGAAGAGGCCAACCAAUUCUUCAGAAAACUCACAUGGGAUAGGUGGUGUCAGGUCUGCUCAAAUUGAUGAAGCACAAAAUACUGUUCGAUGUAACAUGACCCUCAUUGAUAUCCAUCCUCAGUUAGAAGAGUUUUGGGAGAUACAUUCUACCCCUCAUUCUGAACCAGUUGUUUUGGGAGGAGACCUGGAGUGUGAAGACAUCUUCUGUGAAAACACUAAAAAAGGGAGAAGAUGGUAAGUUUAUUGUUUAAAUUUCAUUCAAACGACCUCCUCUUGAACUGGGCGAAUCGAAACACUAUGCUGUCAUCCGAUAUGUAGAGUUUUUCUUGUUUAGAAUAAUUGGAGUUUGAUUUCAAGGGGAUAAACCCCAAAAUAAUCUGUUGCAUCAGUAAACAUUCUUUUCAGACAAAUUUCGUCAUGGUAUUCACCCUCCAUAGCGUUAUGGGUGUGGUACUGUGAUUAAUGAAGUAUCGUUAUAUAUCACGUAAGUAAUAAUGAACUAUCUAUAAUGCGAUUGAGUCUACUCUUUGAAGAGCAACAAAGAUAUAUGAAAGCAUCAACUCCUUUUCGAUAACGUUCGCUUUUCAUACUUCUCUAACUUUAUCAGUUACUGAAAAUCCAUAUUUAUCCGCCCAUAACUCGCACACAUGUCUUGAAAUUGGUUGUACGUCACACCAGGAAAAAAUAUGAUUAGAAUUCAUAUCAUCCUGUUUGAACAUCACAAUAAAAUUUGAAUUAUUUCGAAUCAACUGUUUCGGGAUUCUAGAGUAAGUCUGGGUCAGAUGAAUGCAAUCCACAUUUUUAUGUCGACCAAUACUGAAGUAUGAUCGGAUGACGUCGUGUUUCUCGCCCAUGACACAAUCAAAAAUGAAUAUUGAAUCGGGUUUGGCGUUCGAUGGUUCUACUAUUUCUACCGCGUUAUCAGCAAAAAUGUAGAAUCCCAACCCUUUGAUAUGAGCUGGUACUUUACGUAAAUACUCAUAUUUGGGCUGAAAGAGAGACUUUGAAUGAAGAUGAACAUUUGCAAUUCGCAAUUCAAGAGGAUGAAUCAUGACAUCUAUCUUUUUACAAAUUGAAGUUUUAAUGAUGAGAUUCCGAACGGGGUGUAUAGGACCAUGACGUUGUUUAACACUAUUUCCCGAUCCACUUUCCCCUUUUUCGUGAAAGUUAUACAUGGUAGUAUGAUGUUUCUGCUUAACAAUGUGCAUUGUAUCAGUUAGGCAAGUCCCGUGAAUAGACGAAGAGGCGUGCUACUGAAAAACAUUAUUUGGAAUCGUUAUUUGGUUCUGGAAUUGUCGAGAAAGUGCGUGAUAUUCUACACAAGGCAGGGGAUACUGGAAAUUCGAAAAGGGCUACUGAAAUUACGCUGAAAGCAACACGUGAAUCGACUAAAGCUGCAGGUGGUAUAAAUGAAAUUCGCACACCGCGAAUAAUACCAAUUCCAAAAAUUAUUGGAUUUCUACUGAUCAUAUCAAUUUUUGCAAGGAUUAUCAGCGCUGGGUAGUUUAGCUAGCGCAACAGCUGGCAUAACCACGUCGGCCUCAAUUAUCAUGCCAAGAAAAUGACGAUUUCGUAUUUUCGAAGAGUAUUCUGCAAAAAAAGCAGGACUUUAUCGAAAUAAAUCCGUGUAAGUCAAUUUGGAUAGUCGACAUGGUAUGGGAACGCAUUGGGUAGCAUACAGUAAAUGCAGUGUUUCAGUAUAUUACUUUUAUAGUUUCGGCGAUUCAGCCCCUCCCGAAGAAAUGAUUUGCUAUUUUUUUCGUUGUUUGAGACCAGCCAACUGUUCGAUAUUCACCUUUUCUUGUAUGUGUUUUUAGGUAAAGUUUUUAUUACUAUUAAUAUUUACAUUUCAUCUUUUGUGACACUGGCUUUAUACACACACCCGGAAGUCGGAGGGACAGUCGUGAAUGGUAAAGACAGAAAGCAAGACGUGUGUUCUGCUAAAGUGAAAAUCAUAAAUAUCUACCGCCAAAAACAACAUACUUCAAGAUUUCUUCAAGAUUGCUACCGGGUUAUCCCACGAUCACAUAUAAGGAAGUGAAACCAGAUGGCAAGGAGAUUUUCCGGAAAUAAAUGAGGGCAAGUGGGCUUUUUCAUCCUCACCAUAUUAAUUUCGGUAGUCAAUACCUAAAAAUUUUUCAUGCCUGUGUCCACUUUCCUUCUGAAAGAAAUAUCAGGCCUGCUGGGAGGAAUUUGUGCAGCUCCAAUUAUGACGCGUAAGAAUGCUAAAUGGUUCAUCCUUCUCAAUGUGUUGCAAGCUUAUGGAUUCGGUAUACUCAUUCCCUUAUGUAAUGCCAAACCUAGAAGUCACCUACCAGUUCUAUUUCCUCAUGAUUGGCAAUAUAUGUCAUUGAUGACUGUUAACGGUUUCAUUAUGGGUUACUGUACAACUGUUAUAUAUCUCAGUAUGUCAAAUUUCGCUGGUGACAGGACGGAACAAGCAUUCCUACUCUUUCAAGGCAUCAUGAUUAUCUUGAUGAGUGUAACUUCUCCUCUCAGUCAAGUUUGGUUGAAUAUUCUCUAGAAUGCUUUCAAAAUGUCACAGAUUGCUAACGCAUCGAAAAAAAUGGAAAGGAUACACAGAGAGAUAGCUUUAAGUACCCUGAAAAUUGUAAAAGUAGUUAUGAAUUAAAAUUUAUACUUUGUACAAAA